ensembl:lncRNA
UGAUUUUUGUUGCUGCUAAGGAAGAAAAUAAAUGUGGCAUCCCGGCAGGCCAAAUAUAUUAGCAUUUAAAUACAGGCUUACACAGGUGGGUUUAAAAAAAGCAAUUUCCUAAGAAUUAAAUCAGAUUUUUUUCUUCUCUAAGUCUUAGAAAAAUCAGUUCUGCUUGAGUGUGGUCCUCAGAGAGGGAUUCUGCCUUGCUCUAGGGGCAGACUAGCCCCACGUUCUCAGUGGGGCUCCAUGUCUUCUUCCCAUUAUAAUUACGAGAAAAUGAUGCCUAAGAAGCCGAGGGCAAUUCAUCAGCACUGUUUGCUGGAGUUUCGAAGGCUCGUUUGUUCUGAGAGAAGGGCACCUCAUGUUGGGGUCUAGAUGCACUCUGUACUCAGCUAUGUCAGCAAGUCUGCAGGGGCUGGUUAGGCAAGAUAGAGCAAUCUCCGUUUUGCCAUGGAAGUGGUAAGAAGGGCCAAUGUGCAGCUGCUGGUGCUGCCAGGGCAGAGAUGGGAAGAGACCAAGUUGGUCCUUGAAGCAGACCUUUCUCUUUCUGUUGCCUCCAAAUGCCCAGGGUCUUUAUACCACCUCACUGCUGCCUGUUGACAUGUCCUUCCCUGUUCUGCCUUUUUUGCUCUUGUUGCAUGCUAUGCUAAAAACUGGACUCAGUCCUGGAGCACUACAGGGGCUCCUUUACUGUGUGAUCGUGGAAAGAGAAGAACCAUUAAAUUGGAUACCAAAGGCCACAGAGAUCCAUUUAUGGAGAAUAUAAGAGCUGAUCCUGCUGUUCACAGCCAGACAACAGACCAUCCCCUAACACCUUCAAGGCUACCCACCAAGAAAGAGUGAAGAAAGGCCUCAUGAUGAGGUCAAACCACAGGCAGCACCGGGCCUGUGUCACAGCAAUCCCUCCAGAAAUUCAUCCAGAGCCGGUGACGGAGGGAACUUGGAGAGGAAGUAUUUAUCGCCUGCAAGCUCGCUCAUCACAGAGGAGGCUUCCCUGGCUCCUUUUAUGCACAUGCCUGCUGCACCACCCCGUCCAGGUUAUCUCCCUGCCUGAAGAAUGCCAACAUCCUCAUGUUCCUGUGAGCAAAGAAAAGUCAGGCCCCUUCACCUGUACAAGUCUCAAUUUCUUUGUCUGUGAUAUGAUUGGAAAAAGAGUUUCCAGGUUGUAUAUAUCCAGGUGAAGUACAAAUGAAAUAACGUACAGUCUCCCACCACAUAAUGACAUUUCAGCCAACAGUUGACCUCAUAUAUGAAGGUGGUCCCAUAAGACUAUACUACUGUAUUUUCACUGUACCUUCUCUAUGUUUAGACAGACAGAUUUAGAUGGACUCACAUUUGUGUUUAGAUAGACAAAUACUCACCGUUGUGUUACAACCGUCUGCAGUAUUCAGGACUGUCCCAUGCUGUGCAGGUUUGUAGCGUAGGAGCAACAGGCUGUACCGGAAAGCCCAGGUGUGUCAUAGAAUAUGCCAUCUAGGUGUGUGUAUGUGCACUCUGUGGAUGUUCGCACAACAGCAGAUUCACCUAAGGACACAUUUCUGAGAACGCAUCCCUGCCGUUAAGUGAUGCAUGACUGUAUGAGAAUUUCAUUCCUAAUUGUAAAUUGUUACACGAGCAUGCAGUGGUAUAUGAGUGAGAGGCAGUGCCUUGUGGUGGUGAAGAGCCCAGUUUCUACAUCUUCCAGCUAUGUGAUUUUACACAAACUGAACCUCAUAAGCCUCAGUUUCCCCAUCUGCAAAAUGGGGAUACUAAUGUCACCUACAUCAUAUGAUUACUAUAGUUAAUGAGAAAUGUGUGUCAGGACCCGGCAUGUAAUAAGGGCUCGGACCACUAGCUGUCAUCAUUGUUGCUAUUGUCAUAAUGAUGAUCAUGGAUCCUACUAGAGGCAUGAAGGAACAGAGACCUGUGACAAGCCCCUCCAGGGGGUUCUAUCCCAGAAUCACCAGGAGUCUGGCAUUCUUGCCCACAGCUCUACUCCCAACAUCCUCACAUCUCUGUCCCUGGAAGCAAGUCUGGGAGUUGGAUGUCCUUGGACUACAGAGCUUCCCUGCAGGAGGGCAGAGGACUGGACACAGUAGACUUGAGGGGUUCCCAGGCUCCUUUGCAUCUGUGGCUUCAGCUCAGGUUGGGAAGGGUAUGGGUUGUGUUUCUCCAAAGUGUCAAUAAAGGACUUAAUCACAGGACAAACCUUUAUUAAGAUCCUGCCAUGUCGAUGGAAAAAUGCUUGAGGUUGGCUCCAUGCCUUCCAUCAGGGAGCUUAGGCCUUCAAAAUGGCUGCAAGGGGCCGGGUGCAGUGGCCCACGCCUAGCACUUUGGGAGGCAGAGGCAGAUGGAUCACCUGAGGUCAAGAGUUUGAGACCAGCCUUGCCAACAUGGUGAAAUCCUGUCUCUACUAAAAAUACAAAACUUAUCCGGUCAUGGUCGUGGGUGCCUGUAAUCCCAGUUACUUGGGAGGCUGAGGCAGGAGAAUCAUUUGAACCCAGGAGGCAGAGGUGGCAGUGAGCUGAGAUCGUGUUACUGUACUCUAGCCUAAGCAACAGAGCAAAAACUCUGUCUCAAAACAACAACAACAACAACAAAAUGGCUGCGAGGUAGAACGAUGAGAGGCAUUGGAACCCCUCUCUAAAGCCCCCCACGGUACCCCCUGCAGCAGUGUCUGUCCCUUCCAGUUCUCACUCUUUCCUAUCUCUUACCCAUAUGAGAGGAAGGUCCGGAG